GGGUUGUGAGGUUAAGCGACUAAGCGUACACGGUGGAUGCCCUGGCAGUCAGAGGCGAUGAAGGACGUGCUAAUCUGCGAUAAGCGUCGGUAAGGUGAUAUGAACCGUUAUAACCGGCGAUUUCCGAAUGGGGAAACCCAGUGUGAUUCGUCACACUAUCAUUAACUGAAUCCAUAGGUUAAUGAGGCGAACCGGGGGAACUGAAACAUCUAAGUACCCCGAGGAAAAGAAAUCAACCGAGAUUCCCCCAGUAGCGGCGAGCGAACGGGGAGCAGCCCAGAGCCUGAAUCAGUGUGUGUGUUAGUGGAAGCGUCUGGAAAGGCGCGCGAUACAGGGUGACAGCCCCGUACACAAAAAUGCACAUGCUGUGAGCUCGAUGAGUAGGGCGGGACACGUGGUAUCCUGUCUGAAUAUGGGGGGACCAUCCUCCAAGGCUAAAUACUCCUGACUGACCGAUAGUGAACCAGUACCGUGAGGGAAAGGCGAAAAGAACCCCGGCGAGGGGAGUGAAAAAGAACCUGAAACCGUGUACGUACAAGCAGUGGGAGCACGCUUAGGCGUGUGACUGCGUACCUUUUGUAUAAUGGGUCAGCGACUUAUAUUCUGUAGCAAGGUUAACCGAAUAGGGGAGCCGAAGGGAAACCGAGUCUUAACUGGGCGUUAAGUUGCAGGGUAUAGACCCGAAACCCGGUGAUCUAGCCAUGGGCAGGUUGAAGGUUGGGUAACACUAACUGGAGGACCGAACCGACUAAUGUUGAAAAAUUAGCGGAUGACUUGUGGCUGGGGGUGAAAGGCCAAUCAAACCGGGAGAUAGCUGGUUCUCCCCGAAAGCUAUUUAGGUAGCGCCUCGUGAAUUCAUCUCCGGGGGUAGAGCACUGUUUCGGCAAGGGGGUCAUCCCGACUUACCAACCCGAUGCAAACUGCGAAUACCGGAGAAUGUUAUCACGGGAGACACACGGCGGGUGCUAACGUCCGUCGUGAAGAGGGAAACAACCCAGACCGCCAGCUAAGGUCCCAAAGUCAUGGUUAAGUGGGAAACGAUGUGGGAAGGCCCAGACAGCCAGGAUGUUGGCUUAGAAGCAGCCAUCAUUUAAAGAAAGCGUAAUAGCUCACUGGUCGAGUCGGCCUGCGCGGAAGAUGUAACGGGGCUAAACCAUGCACCGAAGCUGCGGCAGCGACGCUUAUGCGUUGUUGGGUAGGGGAGCGUUCUGUAAGCCUGUGAAGGUGUACUGUGAGGUAUGCUGGAGGUAUCAGAAGUGCGAAUGCUGACAUAAGUAACGAUAAAGCGGGUGAAAAGCCCGCUCGCCGGAAGACCAAGGGUUCCUGUCCAACGUUAAUCGGGGCAGGGUGAGUCGACCCCUAAGGCGAGGCCGAAAGGCGUAGUCGAUGGGAAACAGGUUAAUAUUCCUGUACUUGGUGUUACUGCGAAGGGGGGACGGAGAAGGCUAUGUUGGCCGGGCGACGGUUGUCCCGGUUUAAGCGUGUAGGCUGGUUUUCCAGGCAAAUCCGGAAAAUCAAGGCUGAGGCGUGAUGACGAGGCACUACGGUGCUGAAGCAACAAAUGCCCUGCUUCCAGGAAAAGCCUCUAAGCAUCAGGUAACAUCAAAUCGUACCCCAAACCGACACAGGUGGUCAGGUAGAGAAUACCAAGGCGCUUGAGAGAACUCGGGUGAAGGAACUAGGCAAAAUGGUGCCGUAACUUCGGGAGAAGGCACGCUGAUAUGUAGGUGAAGCGACUUGCUCGUGGAGCUGAAAUCAGUCGAAGAUACCAGCUGGCUGCAACUGUUUAUUAAAAACACAGCACUGUGCAAACACGAAAGUGGACGUAUACGGUGUGACGCCUGCCCGGUGCCGGAAGGUUAAUUGAUGGGGUUAGCGCAAGCGAAGCUCUUGAUCGAAGCCCCGGUAAACGGCGGCCGUAACUAUAACGGUCCUAAGGUAGCGAAAUUCCUUGUCGGGUAAGUUCCGACCUGCACGAAUGGCGUAAUGAUGGCCAGGCUGUCUCCACCCGAGACUCAGUGAAAUUGAACUCGCUGUGAAGAUGCAGUGUACCCGCGGCAAGACGGAAAGACCCCGUGAACCUUUACUAUAGCUUGACACUGAACAUUGAGCCUUGAUGUGUAGGAUAGGUGGGAGGCUUUGAAGUGUGGACGCCAGUCUGCAUGGAGCCGACCUUGAAAUACCACCCUUUAAUGUUUGAUGUUCUAACGUGGACCCGUAAUCCGGGUUGCGGACAGUGUCUGGUGGGUAGUUUGACUGGGGCGGUCUCCUCCUAAAGAGUAACGGAGGAGCACGAAGGUUGGCUAAUCCUGGUCGGACAUCAGGAGGUUAGUGCAAUGGCAUAAGCCAGCUUGACUGCGAGCGUGACGGCGCGAGCAGGUGCGAAAGCAGGUCAUAGUGAUCCGGUGGUUCUGAAUGGAAGGGCCAUCGCUCAACGGAUAAAAGGUACUCCGGGGAUAACAGGCUGAUACCGCCCAAGAGUUCAUAUCGACGGCGGUGUUUGGCACCUCGAUGUCGGCUCAUCACAUCCUGGGGCUGAAGUAGGUCCCAAGGGUAUGGCUGUUCGCCAUUUAAAGUGGUACGCGAGCUGGGUUUAGAACGUCGUGAGACAGUUCGGUCCCUAUCUGCCGUGGGCGCUGGAGAACUGAGGGGGGCUGCUCCUAGUACGAGAGGACCGGAGUGGACGCAUCACUGGUGUUCGGGUUGUCAUGCCAAUGGCACUGCCCGGUAGCUAAAUGCGGAAGAGAUAAGUGCUGAAAGCAUCUAAGCACGAAACUUGCCCCGAGAUGAGUUCUCCCUGACUCCUUGAGAGUCCUGAAGGAACGUUGAAGACGACGACGUUGAUAGGCCGGGUGUGUAAGCGCAGCGAUGCGUUGAGCUAACCGGUACUAAUGAACCGUGAGGCUUAACCUUACAACGCCGAAG
rnacentral:rRNA from 1 species